rnacentral:lncRNA from 10 species
GCUGAAAUGCGAGUGGGGCCAAGGUCGGUUUUUGUCAUGUUUAAGAUGGAUGAUACUUGAUCACAUUUAAUGCUGAUGGGAAAGGGCCCUUGAAAAGACUGACGUCAACCACAAAAUAAGAAUAGGAGGAAGCUGGUGGAAGAGGGUCCCUGAGAAGAAGGAGCACGUUUUUAUUCCUGGAACCAGACCUCUCAGACUCGGCUUCCCCAGGAACGUCCUUCUGACAUCACUGCUAGUGCGGACUCUUG